rnacentral:tRNA from 1 species
UGUAGGGUAGCGAAGUGGUUAAACGCAUCAGAAGAAAAAUGUGAUUAGGAAUAAUCACUAACAGCAAAAUCAGACUCUAAAUCUGACACCGAUGGUUUCAAAGGUUCGAAUCCUUUCCCUACAA